AAGACAAAUUGUACAUGGACAGGUAUGGAGCAGUACAUAGGGUAAAUUGAAUAAAUUAGCUACACUAUAUACAAUUUUUUGAUUUAAGACAAUACACACCAAUUCAUAUUGGGUUCAAAAUUUUCUCUGUCUUUACAUGGUAUCAAGAGCAAGUUGACCAACCUGAUAUUUGAAACCCAAAUUCAUUUUUCAACUUUGCUCUAUUCCUUACAAUGGGAGAAACAACAGAAGUUGUAAUUGCAGCAACAACUGAUUCAACCAAUAAAGGUGUGAUUGAUUCAACACACCAUUUCUUUCUCCAUCCUUCAGACUACCCAGGCAUGAACCUUGUUUUCUCAGCUUUUGAUGGCAAAAGCUAUGGAGCUUGGCGUAGAGCAGUAGUCAUAGCUCUUUCUAUCAAGAAUAAACUAGGUUUCAUAGAUGGAACUCUUUUCAUUCCAGAUGAAAACUCUGGUCUUCAAAGUGCAUGGGCUAGAGGAAAUGAGAUGGUGUUGUCUUGGCUCCUUAACUCUCUGUAAAAAGAAAUUGCAGGAAGUGUUCUUUACUCACACAAUGCAAAAGAUCUGUGGAAUGAUUUAGAAGACAGAUUUGGUCAGACAAAUGUGGCUAAACUUUUUCAACUGCAGAAAGAACUAAGUGCUGUGGUUCAAGGUAACUCUAGUGUUUCAAGUUAUUUCACAAAAAUGAAAAAUUUGUGGGAUGAACUAGAUACCUUGAUCAAUUUUUCUACUUGUUCAUGUGAAUGUGUAUGUGGAGCUAAAAGAAAAAGUCUGAAAACGCACCAAGACCAGAGACUGCUGCAAUUUUUAAUGGCCCUGAAUGACACCUACAUAGGUGUGAGAAGCAACAUACUAUUGACUUGUCCUUUACCUUCUCUUGGCCAAGCUUACUCUAUGGUUAUCCAGGAUGAAAAGCAAAGAGAAAUACAUGUUUUUCCUGUUUAUCCGGGAGAAUCAGCCUCAUUUAUUGCUGCACAACAUGGGACUGUUGGUAAGAGAAACAAUGUGAGAGAUUUUAAAGGGAAAAAACUUGGGUAUGAGGGAAAGAAAAAUAACUCUACUUGUUCAUAUUGCAAGAAGCUAGGUCAUGUUAUGGAACAAUGCUACAUGCUUGUUGGAUUUUCCUCAGAUUUUAUGUUCACAAAUCAAAGAAAAUGCCAGAGGUUAGUUCAAGGUAACAAUACUUUCAGCACUGAAGAAAAUGCAGUACAGACUACGGGGAUCAAGUCACUUACUCAAGAAAAUAUCAGCCAGAUCUUACAACUCCUUCAGCAAGUGCAGAUGGGAAAACACGGAACCAACAGCUCUGAAAACAAUGCAGAUGUGAAUUGUGUUGGUAUAUCUUUCUCACAUAAUUGCACUACUUGGUUUGCAUAUAACAACAAUGAGACAUGGAUAUUAGAUAGUGGUGCAUCUGAACAUAUGACUUUUGAUGAAACUGCUCUCUAUAAUAUAGAUCAUUUACCUAAACCUUUGAAUGUAAAUUUACCCAACUCUCAUAAGGCUAGAGUCACGCAUUCAGGUUCAGUUUCAUUUUUUUCAAACAUGAUUCUUCACAAUAUGUUGUAUGUCUCUGCUUUUAGAUUCAAUUUAUUUUCAGUUCAUAAAUUGUGCAAACAAAAUAACUAUCUCAUAUUAUUCACUUCUCUUUUCUAUUUUUUGCAGGCCCCUCAAUGAAGAGGCCUCUGGUGAUUGGUAGGGAGAGUUGUGGUCUUUAUGUUCUGGAAUCAAGGCAUUUGGAACUCAUUGCCAAGAAGUCAUCUUCAUCUAGAAGUUUGUUUAUGUUAGGAAAAAAUCUAUGUAAUCAGAAAGUUCCUUCAUCUUUACUUUCCUUCUCUAGUAAUUCUGAUGUAAAGAACAAGUUGUGGCACUAUCGUUUAGGCCACUUGCCUUUGAGUAAUAUGAAGAAUAUUUCAUCUAUUCCUAAUUCUUCAUGUGAUAAUUUUUCUGUGCCUUGUGCGAUAUGUCAUAUGGCUAGACAGUCAAAAAUACCCUUUUCCACUAGUUCAACUACUUCUAAAACUAUGUUUGAUAUAAUUCACAUACAUACAUGGGUCCUUACAACACAACCACUUAUGAUGGAUAUAAGUACUUCUUAACUAUAGUUGAUGACUAUAGUAGAGGUACUUGGACAUAUCUUCUUAGCACAAAAUCAAAUGUGUUUCCAGUAUUGCAAUCUUUUUAGCUAUGAUGGAGAGACAGUUUCACAACAAAGUCAAAAUCAUACGUUCAGAUAAUGCUUUUGAGCUUGGAACAUGGAAUGCACAUGCAGAUGUUUUUUCAAAACAAGGAAUUUUUCAUCAGACAACUUGUGUUGGGACUCCUCAACAAAAUGAAAUUGUGGAGCGCAAACAUAAGCAUCUUCUAGAGACUUCUAGGGCUUUGCUCUACCAAUCGCAUCUACCUAUUCUUUUUUGGGAAGAUUGUGUGUUGACUUAACACAUUUAAUUAACAGGUUCCCUUCAAAGGUCUUAAAGCUUAAGACAACUUAUGAGAUAUUAUUUAAAACUAAGCCUAACUACUCCAGACUUAAAUAUUUUGGAUGUUUAUAUUUUAUUUCUAUUCUUUCAUCUCACAGGAAAAAUUUUGAUCCAGGGGCCUUACCUUGUGUUUUCUUAGGAUACUCACAUGGUAAGAAAGGGUAUAAAGUCCUUAAACUUGACACAAAGAAGACUUUUGUUUCUAGGGAUGUGAUAUUUCAUAAGGAUAUCUAUCCCUUUGCUUCAAUGAACAUUUCAAAGCCUCAUAAAUUAAUUUUUCCUACUUCAAAUACACCUCGAGUAAAUCUUGAAGUUCCUGAUUUGCAGACUACCAAUUCAGUUGGACAUUCUCAUCAUCCGAGUAAUCUUCCAAAUCAAGAUGUUACAGAAUUUCCUACACCACUUUUCAGUCCACAACCAAUAGAUGGAAAUCCUAAGAACUCACCAGUUGCACUCAGAAAAUCCAUUCGGAUUCACAAAACUCCCUCUUACCUAAGUGACUACAUUACAAAUGCAGUGCAAUUAACUGAUGUUAGCACACCAUGUUUUCUUUCUCCUAUAACACAUGCUUCUUACUUUUUUUCUGCCCUCUCAACUUCAAAUAAGUCAUUUUUAAAUUCACUUUCAAAUGUUCAAGAACCACUAACCUUCAGCUAGACAGCUCAUCACCCAGGAUGGCAAGAAGCAAUGCAGAAGGAGAUUGAGGCACUAGUCCAGAAUGAGACUUGGGAAGUUGUUGAACCUCCUGCUGAUAAAAAGGCUCUCCCAUGCAAAUGGGUAUACAAAGUUAAACAUCAUUCAGAUGGAAGUAUUGAACGACUGAAAGCAAGAUUAAUAAUCAGAGGUGAUGUAUAAUGUGAGGGUACAAAUUUUAAUGAAACAUUUUCUCCAGUGAUUAAAAUGAUUACAAUCAGAUGUCUUCUAGCUACUGCAGUCAAAAAGGGAUGGGGAUUAU
rnacentral:lncRNA from 1 species